UACGUAGGGGGCGAGCGUUGUCCGGAUUCAUUGGGCGUAAAGAGCUCGUAGGCGGUUCAGUAAGUCGGGUGUGAAAUCUCCGUGCUCAACACGGAGCGGCCACCUGAUACUGCUGUGACUCGAGUCCGGUAGGGGAGUGUGGAAUUCCCGGUGUAGCGGUGAAAUGCGCAGAUAUCGGGAGGAACACCAGUAGCGAAGGCGGCACUCUGGGACGGUACUGACGCUGAGACGCGAAAGCGUGGGGAGCGAACAGG
rnacentral:rRNA from 1 species